rnacentral:rRNA from 1 species
AGUGAACGCUGGCGGUAGGCCUAACACAUGCAAGUCGAACGGCAGCACAGUAAGAGUGUGCGCUUACGGGUGGCGGGAGGCGGACGUGAGAGGAAUACAACGGAAUCUUCUCUUUCGGGGGGGUUAACGUAGGUAAGGUUACUCUAAUACCGCAUAUGACCCACGGGGGAAGGCAGUGGAUCUUUGCAGCUGGUGCGGUUGGACUCGCGGAUGUCGGAUUAGCUAGUUGGCGGGGUAAUGGCCCACGAAGGCGACGAUCGGUAGCCGGUGUGAGAGGAUGAUCGGCGACCCUGGAACUGAGACACGGUCCAGGCUCCUGCGGGAGGCAGCAGUGGGGAAUAUUGGACAAAGGGCGCAAGCAUGAUCCAGCCAUCCCGCGUGGGUGAAGAAGGCCUUCGGGUUGUAAAGACCUUUUGUUGGGAAAGAAAAGCAGCAGGUUAAUACCCCGCUGUUCUGACGGUACCCAAAGAAUAAGCACCGGCUAACUUCGUG